CUUGAAAAUCAAUUAAUGCACAUGUCGCAUGAGAUAUACUUUUUAAAUCACAAAUUGGAGAAUGGUUGACUCGGAGAAAAGCCAGAGAGAAACCGGAUAUUUGGAUUGAGUAUUUAAACAGAUGGAAUAUCGAGAAAAUAACGGCUUAUUUAUCGUCAAGUAUCGCCGACACAAACGAGUAAUACUACUAUCUACGGUCCGCAUUUCAAACAAUUAUCCAGCUGCGAUGAAAGGAACGUGUCUUUUAUUCGGGCACUCGAGCCUACUCGACGUUCCGUGCAAAACAGUGAUAAGUGAUAAAGACCCUUAGGAGAAUUUUAUUUAAUCGUGUAAGUAGGAGAUAUGUCGUCGGAGAGACAAAGAAUUAUAGCACUACUGACAAUGAGAUCGUAUCAUCAUCCAGCUCAUGUUUAUGAUGCGCAAUAUUUUUUCUUUCAAAGUCAUAAAUGUUAAGUAGGAGCGAUGCAGAAUUAUUUAGCAAACUUGUAAAAUUAAUUUAAAUAUACAUACAUCUUUUCUCAAAUAAAAUAAUACUUUUAAAUAAUCUUGCUAUCUUAUUGUAUAUAUAAAAUUGAUAAAACGAUGUUAUGAAUACUAGUUUACAUUAUGAUAUGACAGAACAAAAAUGGGACAUUUUCUAUUGUUAAUUACUAUUUCAUAUUUCAUUGCAAGAUUAUAUGUUUUCACUUACACAAAAA